rnacentral:tRNA from 1 species
GGGGAAUGCUCUGGGCAAGCACGCUUCCUUUGCAAGGAAACUGAGGUGGGUUCGAUCCCCACAUUCUCCA